rnacentral:rRNA from 1 species
CAGGCCUAACACAUGCAAGUCGAGCGGUAACAGAGAGUAGCUUGCUACUCUGCUGACGAGCGGCGGACGGGUGAGUAAUGCUUGGGAAUGUACCUUAUGGUGGGGGACAACAGUUGGAAACGACUGCUAAUACCGCAUAAUGCCUACGGGCCAAAGAGGGGGACCUUCGGGCCUCUCGCGUCAGGAUAUGCCUAGGUGGGAUUAGCUAGUUGGUGAGGUAAUGGCUCACCAAGGCGACGAUCCCUAGCUGGUCUGAGAGGAUGAUCAGCCACACUGGAACUGAGACACGGUCCAGACUCCUACGGGAGGCAGCAGUGGGGAAUAUUGCACAAUGGGCGCAAGCCUGAUGCAGCCAUGCCGCGUGUGUGAAGAAGGCCUUCGGGUUGUAAAGCACUUUCAGUCGUGAGGAAGGUUCAUACGUUAAUAGCGUAUGGAUUUGACGUUAGCGACAGAAGAAGCACCGGCUAACUCCGUGCCAGCAGCCGCGGUAAUACGGAGGGUGCGAGCGUUAAUCGGAAUUACUGGGCGUAAAGCGCAUGCAGGUGGUUUGUUAAGUCAGAUGUGAAAGCCCGGGGCUCAACCUCGGAAUAGCAUUUGAAACUGGCAGACUAGAGUACUGUAGAGGGGGGUAGAAUUUCAGGUGUAGCGG